rnacentral:lncRNA from 1 species
AGAAUUGGAAAGGAUGAAACUCCAUUUGUCAUUUUCUUGAAAAAGACUCUAAGUGCUAUUGCCAGAAUACAGUAAUGUGGAAAGCUAAAUCAAGUGUUUCUGUGAUUGAUAUCCCGAGGUGUCAAGUUUAUGUGAUCCACAAUGCUUCUUUCAGUCUCUUCUGAAUAUUUUCUAUCGACAAUUUUAUUACUACUUAUUUCUUUUGCAAUACUUUCGCACUUCUUUUACUUGUUAUUUCGAACCUAUUUAGAACCUCUUUGCACUAAGCGAGAACACAUUGGCGAAUGUUUUCUGGCCAAUGUGUUGUACUAUUUCUUCUUCAGCAGUAGGCAAUGUGUAUGCAAAUGAACAUUGCCUUCUGCUUUGAUCAGGAUGCUAGUAUUUUCCAUCUACGAAUGAUAGGAGUUGCGUGAAAUAGUCCCAAAAUGAAAGUUGUUUGGGAAGUGUAGUCUUUCAUUUUGUAAUAUUCAGUAAAAAGCUUCAUCUGUUGGUCAUAAUUGAUAGUCCCUCACUGGUAAUGACACCUGCAAACUUUCUGAAACAGCAAACACUAUUAUUGAUCACAUACAUACUGACAUGAGUACCGAAGUAAUCAUCAAAACGCCAACAACUACAAAACAAUAAAGCUAUAACAACGAACUUACCAGUCGUGAAGGAGGGUGCUUACUUGAUAUUUUCUUUUUCUUUGCCGUUUCAUAUUCUUGCCCACGUUUUCUCAUUAUCUUUUCCAUUUCCAUCACACUACCUUCUCCACAUUUCCAUUUAAGAGGCAUAAUAAUAAAUCAUUCACCCUGAAUGUUAAUCGAACAGUGAAUUUGAUCAAAAAUGAAGGCAGGACGUGGCACUUUCAGACAUUUUAAGGAAACGAUGCAUGGAGUUACAGCGAGUGAAAUCUUGCAAUAGAUACAAGAAACUAACCAAUUGUCAGGAAGUUUUCAGCCUUUUUUUAUUGCAUUGGCAUUGAAACUUGC